AGGAUUAACGCUGGCGGCGUGCCUAACACAUGCAAGUCGAACGAGGUAGCAAUACCUAGUGGCAGACGGGUGAGUAACGCGUGGUCAACCUACCGUUGAGUGGGGGAUAACUAGCCGAAAGGUUAGCUAAUACCGCAUACGAGUCUCGGGGGCAUCCCUGAGCCUUAAAAGGAGCAAUCCGCUCGAUGACGGGACCGCGUCCCAUUAGCUAGAUGGUGGGGUAACGGCCUACCAUGGCACCGAUGGGUAGCUGGUUUGAGAGAGCGACCAGCCACACUGGGACUGAGAAACGGCCCAGACUCCUACGGGAGGCAGCAGUGAGGAAUUUUCCGCAAUGGGCGAAAGCCUGACGGAGCGACGCCGCGUGUGGGAAGAAGGCCUUCGGGUCGUAAACCACUGUCGAAGGGGACGAUAAUGACGGUACCCUUGGAGAAAGCCCCGGCUAACUACGCGCCAGCAGCCGC
rnacentral:rRNA from 1 species